CCGACUCACUCUGUUUCCCACAGCUGAGCAGGAUGGAAGUGGAAACAUGUCCAUUUGCCUGCUGUGUUUCCAGAGGGCACAGCAACAGUUAAGUUGCCUUCAGCAAGAGAUGGAAACCAGGACUGAGCCUUUGAGCCUACAGCUGGCCCUUUUUCUUCACAAGGGGUAAACCCCCUUUUUUCU